rnacentral:lncRNA from 10 species
AACAAAACAAGUAAAAUUCAUUUUAGCAAUACAAUUUAUUUCACUCAAUAUAUCAAAAAUAACAUCAUUUCAACACGUAUUCAAUACAAAAAUUAUUAUUGAGACAGCUUACAUUCUUUUUUAUUUUUGUACUGCCUUUGAAAUACAGUGUGCUUUAUUCUUAGAAUGUGUCUUAAUUCAGACUAGGCAAAUUUCAGGUGCUCAAUAGCCACCCAGGACUAGUGGCUACCAUAUUGAGUGGUUAGGUGAAAUUUUUCAAGGAUACCAAUUCUAAGAACUGUUCAGUGAAAAUGGCUGGGAGAUCUGCCUAUUAUAUAAUCCUCCAGGAGAUUCAUAUGAGGGAUUCAUAUAUUAAAGUCUUUGAAAAGUCUGCCAGAAAUACAAUGAUUGUACCUUCUGCUUUUCAAACUUGUGUAGCCACAGGACCUUUUGUUCCUCCAGUGUAAUCAAUCCCACGCAGUCAGUGCUCCUUUGGACCUGCCUCGGGCAUCGCUGCUUCUCUUGUCGGCAAGUUGCCGAAGGAUCCUUCCCUAGGCGGAGAUCAGUUAGACCACUUGCAUCGCAUAGGCCAGGUUGUGGAGAAGGAGACUGGAAACAGAGGUCUGGGAGGAUCCAAGCAUCAGGAAGAACCACAGAGGUUCUCAUUGUUCCCACCGGUAAUUAACUCUUCAUUUAUAAAAAAUGUGAGCUUCCAGGGAUUUCAUCGGACCUCCUCCCAAGUUGUAGAUUUGAUGAGAAUGAAUUUCCCGUUCAUUUUCGUUGCUUUGAUCAAUAAUAAAAACCUCAUGAAAUAAAGCACUUGUAAAGUCUUAUGCAAACAUUUUAUUGACAUGCUCAAUAAAAACCUGUUCACUUUUACUGUUUCCAGUUCUUGAAGAUUUAAACAGAUUGCCUCUUUGAAGAUUUUCUAUUUAUUUUUUCCUUUUUUUUGUAUUUUCUGCACUCCACUGUUACAUUUUCUGUUUGUAUCAUAAUGCCAUUUUUUUUCUUUUUCAUAUGACUUCCUGGUGGAAGGUGGAAACCCAGCAUUCAGAUGAUCAUUUGAAACAUCAUCUUCCCCUGUUUGUUAGCUUGGGAUCUGGCCGUCCUGCAGUCUUUCCAUGUGUUGAUGGUUGUGUGUGAAGAUUAUUUGUGCAUCAUUUAGUCUGCAUUUAUUCAUCUUGUGAGCUGAGGAUUCUGCUAAGCACCCCAGAGAUGGAUGGAGGCUGGCAGGGAUUCGCCUUCAUCCUGUGAUUCAGCAAUGCAGGCUCCUCCACCCGUGGUAGCGCCGUGUCAAUACGUAGCUUCUCAGGUCACUGCUAGAGGGGAAGAGAAGAAUGGAAAGUUGCACCAGCUCUUAACAGCCUCAACUCAGAGAUGACACGUGUCUCUUCUGCUCCCAAUCCCUCAGCCAGAAUUAGUAAUGUGGGCUGCUGAAAAAUGUCAGGAGUGCAUGGAUAUUUGGAGAGUGCUGUUUCUGCCACCUUAUUUCAUACCAAACCACAGAAACAAAAUUGGUGACUCUUCUUAGUAAAUUAGAACAGAGUAUCAAAAGGAUUAUUAGGAUCAGAGCACCCGUGUCCAUGUAUUCUCAUUGUUCAACUCCCACUUAUGAGUGAGGACAUGUGGUGUUUGGUUUUCUGUUCUUAUGUUAGUUUGCUGAGAAUGACGGUUUCCAGCUUCAUCCAUGUCCCUGCAGAGGGACAUGGCUGCAUAGUAUUCCAAAAGCCCUUCCUCAUUAUUCUGAUGCAGGCACUGGUCUGUAGGGUUUGAAAAGCAUUGCUUAGAGGACAAGGAGGUAGAAGGUGUCCUUAGGAUGAGAUGCUAAUGAGGGAGUGAACCUUAGAAAGGUGGAAAGACUCACACCAGUGCCUCUUAUUUGCUUCAGGGUCCUGCAUGUGGCUGGCUGGCCGAGCUUUAAGAGUAGGGUUUGGGUAAUAUCUGCUUCUGAGCCAUGUUUCAGGACUGUGGAUAUUUUUAAGCUAAAGGGGAGAAGUCCAAUGGAAGACAUGCAGGGAGCUUUUCAUCUACUUGAAGGAACAGACUUGCUCUGUAUUGCUCCAAAGAGGCCAAUAUUUUGAAAUUCCAAUGAGGUAGGCUCAAAAUGAAACAUCCUGAACAUCUGAGCUGUCCAACAAUGAUGCCGGCUUCUGGGGCAUUACUCAGCUACUUGUGCUCCACCGAGUUCUUUUCUUUUUCUUUUUCUUUUCUUUUCUUUUUUUUUUUCUGACACGGAGUCUUGUUCUGUCGCCCAGGCUGGAGGGCAGUGGUGUGAUCUCGGCUCACUGCAACCUCCGCCUUCCAGGUUCAAGAGAUUCUUCUGCCUCAGCCUCCAGAGUAGGUGGGAUUACAGGCGCUCGCCACCAUGCCUGGCUAAUUUUUAUAUUUUCAGUAGAGACAAGGUUUGGCCAUGUUGGCCAGGCUGGUCUCAAACUUCUCACCUCAGGUGUUCUGCCUGCCUCGUCCUCCCAAAGUGCUGGGAUUACAGGCUUGAGCCACAGCGCCCAGUUGAGUUCUGAAUGUUGAGGCUCCUCAGAUUUCAGUUUGGACCUCUCUUCUCUUUUACACACUUUUUCUUCAGCACCUCAU